CGUAUUUGCGGGCGCGCGCCUCCGUCCUCGUGAGUUCAAAGUGGAUUUUAACCGUUUACCUCAGACGACAGUUUUCAUUUCUAUGGCAAAUUCUAAGGUCAUUUUCUUGUUGUGUUUUGAUGUUUUCCAUUGGCUGAAGAAACCCAUCAGCAACCAUCAAGAGAAAUUGGAGGCAGCUGAGCUAAAUUGCAGAUAUUGAUGCAAAUGAUCUGUAUAAUAUGCUGUCAUCAGGUUUUAAGUACAGUAUGAGCCAGAAUGGAAGGGUGUUGGUGGCCAUAAGAAGACUGUGAGCUAAACCUACAACAAAAUUCAUAUUUGCAGUUUUCCUAGAAUAUUUUUUUCUAUUCAGAUGAA